CCUACGGGAGGCAGCAGUGAGGAAUAUUGGUCAAUGGACGAGAGGCUGAACCAGCCAAGUCGCGUGAAGGAUGACUGCCCUACGGGUUGUAAACUUCUUUUAUAAAGGAAUAAAACGAGUCACGUGUGACUUUUUGCGUGUACUUUAUGAAUAAGGAUCGGCUAACUCCGUGCCAGCAGCCGCGGUAAUACGGAGGAUCCGAGCGUUAUCCGGAUUUAUUGGGUUUAAAGGGGGCGUAGAUGGGUUGUUAAGUCAGGUGUGAAAGUUUGCGGCUCAACCGUAAAAUUGCAAUUGAUACUGGCAGUCUUGAGUGCAGUUGAGGUAGGCGGAAUUCGUGGUGUAGCGGUGAAAUGCUUAGAUAUCACGAAGAACCCCGAUUGCGAAGGCAGCUUACUAAACUGUGACUGACAUUGAUGCUCGAAAGUGUGGGUAUCAAACAGGAUUAGAUACCCGUGUAGUC
rnacentral:rRNA from 1 species